AUGUCAAGAUUGAAAAUCAGUUUUGACAAGAGUGAGGUUUUUACUAUCGGAGGAGAUAACGAAACUGACUUAGUAUAUGCGGACAUGUUUAACUGCCAAGUGGGCACCCUGCCCAUGAGAUAUUUGGGUGUUCCUGUUACAUACUCUACUCUUAAGAAUGUAGAGUUGGAUUUCUUGGAUGGUAAGAUGAUUAAAAAAUUGGAUGCUUGGAUUGCUUAUGCAGCAUCCUCAGGAGCCAGACUCACUUUAUUAGGGUCCAACCUGGAUGGGAUUCCAUCCUAUCUUAUGUUGAUGUUUCUUUUCAAUAAAACUUUUAUUAAAAAAAUGAAUAAACAUCGCAAACGAUUUUUUUGGAGGAAAAAAACAAGAAACAUGGAUACCAUAUGGUGA
rnacentral:rRNA from 1 species